AUGGCGCAGCCAGGGACUACGGCGGCGGGGCAUGCGCUGCUCUGGUUCAUAUCGGAGGGUCUUGGAUCUGGGCGGCGGCCCCCGGCGAGGCCCCUUGUCACCUGCGGUGAGCAGUGGGGUAGGCGCGGUGCCGGCGAUCUGGUCGGGUGGCCGGCGGAUCUUCGGAUGUUAGUAGUGGAUGACAUCCGGGAAUACAUUACCAAGUCACGAACAAAAACUGUAAAUGAGAGUCCCACAAGAGAAUGUACUUGGGAAAGAAAGCUUGGGCAGUACUCUCUGUUACUCAACUUCGACUAUGAUCCAUGGAAUGCACUGUCUUUUCUGUCACUAGGCUUGCUCGAUGCAACAAGAAAAGGACAGAAGUCUGACAAGAAGAUAAAACUGGCAGAUACAGUCAUCAUCCACAUCCUCUCUCAGUUCAAAAAGAACAACGGCAAGCUAGAAAAUGGACAAGCAGCACUUGCUAGAAAUCAGCUGGGAAGCCAAUUCUCAUGGGCCUGCAACUUGCCAACACACAUCCACACAAUCCUUGUAUGGCAUAUCGCCACAACCAUCUCCCGGAACGAGCUGUCGCUGAAGGGCAACGACGACCUCCUUGUUGCCGUGAGACUGUCGGAUUACUGUGCCUACUUGGUAGCUUUUGUUCCCGACAUGCUGCCUGGUCAUGGCUACGACACACGACGCAUCUUCGACGCUGUGGUCAUGGAGGCUCGGCAGCGCCUUGCCGGAUGUGAAACUCUGAGUGGUAGGUAUGAGAAGUUGAUCACAGGCUUGCAUGACGACGAUGGUACAAUCCUAUAUAAGGGAGCCGAGCUUGGGAGGCAACUUAGAGAUAAUGUUCCUGAUCAAGGACAGCGUUGGAAGGUGCUGGCUGACUUUUGGGCAGAGUUCAUACUCUUCCUGGCGCCAUCGGACAAUGCGCACAUCCAUGCAGAGAUGCUGGCCACCGGCGGGGAGCUCAUGACCCAUCUCUGGGCACUUCUCACUCAUGCUGGUAUUCUGGGGCGGCCCUCUUCCUCCUCUGGGAUAGACCAUCUGGGAGGGUUUAAUGGUACCACUGCACAAGAGUCUGUGGUUUGA
rnacentral:rRNA from 1 species